UUUUGUCCGGAAGAUGAUGGAAUUCUGCUUCUCGAAGCAGGAGCUCAGAUUUCUGGAUGACAUUGUGCCAGAAGGAGAGUUGGAUGAUGCCAAGAAUGAACAUGAAGGAGAAGAGUUGUCGGGAUUGGCGAAGACGAAUACAGGAGAGCUCAACAGAUAAACUUGAGGCUCCAAGAAUGCUGCUUGGAUGAGCAGCAUCUGUCAGAGCUUCGGAUGUUUCAAUCGUGGGAGACUUUAACUUCCCAGAUAUCUGCUGGAAAUACAACACAUCAGAGCGGGACCAGUCCUGAAGAUUCCUGGAAUGUGCGGGAGACAAAUUCCUGACGCAACUGG